GAUGAACGCUAGCGGCAGGCCUAAUACAUGCAAGUCGUACGGCAACACAGUUGCGAGCAAUCGCAACCGGUGGCGAGUGGCGCACGGGUGAGUAACGCGUAUGUAACCUACCCUUCUCCGGGACAUAACUCCGCGAAAGCGGUGCUAAUAUCCCAUACCAACUCAUCAAGACAUCUUCUUGAGUUGAAAGCAGCAAUGCGGUGAAGGAUGGGCAUGCGUCCCAUUAGCUGGUUGGUGAGGUAAUGGCCCACCAAGGCUACGAUGGGUAGGGGUUCUGAGAGGAAAGCCCCCCACACUGGUACUGAGACACGGACCAGACUCCUACGGGAGGCAGCAGUAAGGAAUAUUGGGCAAUGGUCGAAAGACUGACCCAGCCAUGCCGCGUGCAGGAUGAAGGCCCUAUGGGUUGUAAACCGCUUUUAGCCGGGAAUAAACACCCGUUUUAUAACGGGCCCGAAGGUACCGGCUGAAUAAGCAUCGGCUAACUCCGUG
rnacentral:rRNA from 1 species